AUGCGAUAAGUAAUGUGAAUUGCAGAAUUCAGUGAAUCAUCGAAUCUUUGAACGCACCUUGCGCUCCUUGGUAUUCCGAGGAGCAUGCCUGUUUGAGUGUCAUGAAAACCCUCAACCUUAGAUUGGUUAAAACCUUUCUUUGGCUUGGAUUUGGACGUUUGCCGAUGAUAAGUCGGCUCGUCUUAAAAGUAAUAGCUGGAUCUGUCUCGCGACAUGGUUUGACUUGGCGUAAUAAGUAUUUCGCUAAGGACAUCUUCGGAUGGCCGCGUUGCAAGACUAAAGACCGCUUUCUAAUCCAUUGAUCUUCGGAUUAAUAUUCUUGACAUCUGGCCUCAAAUCAGGUAGGACUACCCGCUGAACUUAA
rnacentral:misc_RNA from 1 species